UACGUAGGGACCAAGCGUUUGUUCGGAUUUACUGGGCGUAAAGGGCGCGUAGGCGGCGCGGUAAGUCACUUGUGAAAUCUCUGAGCUUAACUCAGAACGGCCAAGUGAUACUGCAGUGCUAGAGUGUGGAAGGGCAAUCGGAAUUCUUGGUGUAGCGGUGAAAUGCGUAGAUAUCAGGAGGAACACCGGUGGCGAAGGCGGGUCUCUGGGCCGAUACUGACGUGAGGAGCGAAAGCGUGGGGAGCAAACAGG
rnacentral:rRNA from 1 species